GGAGUGAAGCCCUCUAUAGAUCAACCACGUGGGAGAAGCAACUCAUGAGGUAGCAUGUCAUCUCUAAACCUACAAAUGUGGCACAAGGAAUUCCGCAGAAGAACAAGUUGCUCUCUGACAAGAAGAAAAGCUGGUCCCAGGAAUACGAUGUUUGGGUGUUUUCGAAAAGACAGCCAGUCUCAGCAGACUGUUCAAUAAAUGCUUCAUACCCAGGAUGAAGGGAGACAUUAUGGGAUGCCCAGGGGGCUUUGGAAAUCAAAUACAAUGUUUGAGUAGCACAAUUUGAGGUGGCAUCCUGUUAUUACAGAAAUAUCUUUCAUAAAUUAUGAUUUUUUUUCAACAAAUGGAAGUAAUGCAACACCUAUUUGGUAUACUCAUCAUAUACGUUAAAUCUAACAAUGGCAUAUAAUUGAUAACAUCAGCAGACAGAUUCUGCAGAAAGAAACCAAAUCUAACUCGGUUCAACAAAUUCUUGAUUCAUCAGAUUUGUUUUAAGAUGUGACUUCCGGCUGUUUCAACAGAACGACACUACCUGCAAGUGUGCACUAACCUAGAGAAGGUUCAGACAUAAACACUCAUGUGCCAUGUUGACGAUGUACUCUAAUACAACCUUUUUGGAGGACAAUUUUUAAGUAUGGUAAAGUCUCUAAAAUGGACUUAACUAUUUGUCCCACAAUAUCUUUCUAAUUGUUUUUUGGAGACAGGGUCUCACCAUGUC